GUUAUUGACUGUAAAACAUUAAAGAAAUAAUAAUAUUCAUCAAUCAACAAUGAUUAAAGACCAUGUAGGUAUUUCUUUCCUGCUUUCAUUCUUAUGUCUUUGGUUGCUCUUCUCCCCACUCUCUCCUCCAGUGGGUGUGGUGAGGCCCACCCUCACUGUCCUCCCUCCAUCCAAAGAGGAAGACAAACUGAGUAGUGCCACUCUGGUGUGUUUGGCUGCCGGCGGUUUCCCCUCAAACUGGAAGCUGGGCUGGAAGGUGGGGGGCACCAGCACAUCCUCAGGUGUGUCAAGCAGCCUGGAGGUCUUGGGGACAGACGGUCGCUACAGCUGGAGCAGCACCCUGAGCCUCUCUGCAGACCAGUGGAGGAAGGCGGGCUCAGUGAGCUGUGAGGCCAGUCUGAGUGGACAGUGCCCUGUCACUCAAACCCUGGACCCUGACCACUGCUCAGAGUAGAACUUCAGCAACACUUCCUGUUUGCAUAUGUGUUUGAUGAAGCUACAGGUUUCAUUUGUUUUAAUUUUCCUGCAAACAUUGUUGUCUGUUGUUGUGCAUGCAGAUGUCAUCUGUUUAUUCACAUUGUGUUUUCAAACCAUGCUAUAAAAAGAAAGUCUGCAGAACAAAAUAAAAUCCCAGUUCAUGAAAAAUCA